UACGUAGGGUGCAAGCGUUGUUCGGAAUUAUUGGGCGUAAAGCGUGCGUAGGUGGAUUAAAAAGUCAGGUGUGAAAUCCCACAGCUUAACUGUGGAAUUGCGCUUGAAACUUUUAGUCUAGAGGAUGGCAGAGGUAAGUGGAAUUCCUAGUGUAGAGGUGAAAUUCGUAGAUAUUAGGAGGAAUACUCGUGGCGAAGGCGGCUUACUGGGCCACGCCUGACACUGAGGCACGAAAGCAUGGGGAUCAAACAGG
rnacentral:rRNA from 1 species